rnacentral:lncRNA from 10 species
CAGGACGCUCCCUGAGUCAUUCCAGUCAAGUGCCUGGGGUCCUCACUGAGCAGCGAGUCGUCCCCCGUGUCCUCUCCGGCCACCAACCACAGCUCCCCCGCCAGCACACCCAAGCGCGUGCCCAUGGGCCCUAUCAUCGUCCCCCCUGGGGGCCACAGCGUGCCCAGCACCCCCCCCGUGGUGACCAUCGCUCCAACCAAAACCGUGAAUGGUGUCUGGAGGAGUGAGAGCCGGCAGGUGAGUGGGGCGGGGCAGGGAGCCUAGCGUCCUCUAAGUGGGGAGGCUGGAUUCAGGCAUCCAUUGGGGGCUCUGGAGCUUUCGAGGUUGAGUUUACAUUCCAGACACCCCCUCCCCCACCCUGAGUUUCCGUCUCCUUCUCUGCAACGUGAGGGUGACAGCGGCACCCUCCUGGAGGCCCUGUGCGGGUGAGUACAUCGGCCCACGCAUCAGUCUGUCAGAAGAAACCACCCGCUGGGGGUGUCCCGUUAUUUUCUCCUGUUCUGGAGGCCACAAGUUCACAAUCCGGGGGCCGGCAGGGCUGGUUUCCCCAGAGGCCUCUCCUGGGUUGCCGGUGGCUGCCUUCUCCCUGGGUCGUCUGUGGUGUCUCCAUGUCUGGGUCCUGAUCUCCUCUUCUCAUAAGGACACCAGUCAGCUGGUUUAGCGCCCACCCUAAUGUCCUUAUUCUCAUUCGGUCACCUCUUUAAAGACCGUGUCUCCAAAUGCAGUUCCGUUCUGAGGCCCUGGGCAUCAGGGCUCUAACACGGAUUUGGGCGGGGGUGGCAGUCCAGUUCAAGCUGUGAAAGUGGUGUUUGCACGCUGAGCACCCGGCACACUAGCUGUGACUGUCAUAGUCUGUGAACUGAACAAAGAAUUGAGGUAGGAAAGAUCCCAGCCCAGACGCUAUCAGAACAAGACAUCUGGUGGGUUUUGUGUUUCUGUCUUACUUUUGGGGCUCCCAGCGGAGGCCCCUCCCCAAGUUUUCGGGGCUCCUUAUGUCUGUGGGCCCCUCGCUCUGCACUGACUGGGGCCUGCCUGUGUGGAAGGAGCUGGCACUGGGAGCUGCUCUUCUGCCGCUGCCUGGGGCCUGUGCGCCCUCAGGUGGGUACCUG